GAUGAACGCUGGCGGCGUGCCUAAUACAUGCCAGUCGAGCGAACAGACGAGGAGCUUGCUCCUCUGACGUUAGCGGCGGACGGGUGAGUAACACGUGGAUAACCUACCUAUAAGACUGGGAUAACUUCGGGAAACCGGAGCUAAUACCGGAUAACAUGUUGAACCGCAUGGUUCAACAGUGAAAGGCGGUCUUGCUGUCACUUAUAGAUGGAUCCGCGCCGCAUUAGCUAGUUGGUAAGGUAACGGCUUACCAAGGCAACGAUGCGUAGCCGACCUGAGAGGGUGAUCGGCCACACUGGAACUGAGACACGGUCCAGACUCCUACGGGAGGCAGCAGUAGGGAAUCUUCCGCAAUGGGCGAAAGCCUGACGGAGCAACGCCGCGUGAGUGAAGAAGGUCUUCGGAUCGUAAAACUCUGUUAUUAGGGAAGAACAAAUGUGUAAGUAACUAUGCACGUCCUGACGGUACCUAAUCAGAAAGCCACGGCUAACUACGUG
rnacentral:rRNA from 1 species